GUUUAAUUUGUUGAAAGUACUAAGAUACUUGAGCUAUGAAUGAAGGUGGGAUGAAGUGAAAAUUUUUUGUGUUAUGUAUGCAGUAUGCAUGUAAAAGCUCAUUUGGUUAAUUAUUCAACUACCUGUGAACAAGUAUUUACUAAUAAAUCACCACUGUUAUGUUAUAAUAUACUUCUCUUAGCUUAUUGAUUUAAAAUGUUUAAAUGCCUGUACAUGUUCAAGCUUUUGCACCUUGCAAAGUUUGAGUUCAGGUGUGUGUCAAGUAACCAGGUUCUUAAUCACAGAA
rnacentral:misc_RNA from 1 species